rnacentral:rRNA from 1 species
CGUAGGAAUCUACCUGGUAGUGGGGGACAACUUGGGGAAACUCAAGCUAAUACCGCAUACGCCCCAUGGGAAAGCGGGGGACCUUCGGGCCUCGCGCUAUCAGAUGAGCCUGCGUUGGAUUAGCUAGUUGGUGGGGUAAAGGCCUGCCAAGCGACGAUCCAUAGCUGGUCUGAGAGGAUGAUCAGCCACACUGGGACUGAGACACGGCCCAGACUCCUACGGGAGGCAGCAGUGGGGAAUAUUGCGCAAUGGGCGAAAGUGACGCAGCCAUGCCGCGUGUGUGAAGAAGGCCCUAGGGUUGUAAAGCACUUUCAAUUGGGAGGAAAGGUUGCAGGUUAAUACCCUGUAGCUGUGACGUUACCUUUAGAAGAAGCACCGGCUAACUCCGUGCCAGCAGCCGCGGUAAUACGGAGGGUGCGAGCGUUAAUCGGAAUUACUGGGCGUAAAGCGCGCGUAGGGGUUUGUUAAGUCAGCUGUGAAAGCCCCGGGCUCAACCUGGGAAUUGCAGUUGAUACUGGCCGACUAGAGUACGAGAGAGGGAGGUAGAAUUCCACGUGUAGCGGUGAAAUGCGUAGAUAUGUGGAGGAAUACCGGUGGCGAAGGGGCCUCCUGGCUCGAUACUGACGCUGAGGUGCGAAAGGUGGGGAGCAAACAGGAUUAGAUACCCUGGUAGUCCACGCCGUAAACGAUGUCUACUAGCCGUUGGGGAACUUGAUUUCUUAGUGGCGCAGUAACGCACUAAGUAGACCGCCUGGGGAGUACGGCCGCAAGUUAAAACUCAAAUGAAUUGACGGGG